AUACGGAGGAUGCGAGCGUUAUCCGGAUUUAUUGGGUUUAAAGGGUGCGUAGGCGGAAAGUUAAGUCAGCGGUGAAACGCAGGUGCUCAACACCUGACCUGCCGUUGAGACAGGUUUUCUAGAAUGCGGAUGCUGUGGGAGGAAUGUGUGGUGUAGCGGUGAAAUGCAUAGAUAUCACACAGAACACCGAUUGCGAAGGCAUCUCACAAAUCCGCGAUUGACGCUGAGGCACGAAGGUGCGGGGAUCGAACAGGAUUAGAUACCCUGGUAGUCCGCACAGUAAACGAUGAUAACUCGCUGUCGGCGAUAGACAGUCGGUGGCCAAGCGAAAGCGAUAAGUUAUCCACCUGGGGAGUACGACCGCAAGGUUGAAACUCAAAUGAAUUGACGGGG
rnacentral:rRNA from 1 species